ACGUAUGCGGAAAUGGGCGUGUCUGUGUAGAUAAGCGGGCGCCACCUGCAUUCAAUUUGUUCACAACGGCAGUGACACAGUUCUGCCCCAAAUUGAACAAGAAACUAAUAUUAGCGUUCUUUAUUAAAAAUACGAAACGGAAAGCCGAGAGUGAUGGAACGCUGGAGGGGCAGAGUUGCUCUCGUCACCGGAGCCUCGGUUGGAAUCGGAGCGGCCAUUGCUAAAGAGUUGGUCAGUUUCGGUAUGAUAGUGGUGGGCUGUGCGAGGGACCUGGACAAGUUAAAGUCCGUGGCAGCAGAGUGUCUCAGUGAAGGCCACAGUGGCGUUUUGGUACCGUUCAAGUGCGACCUGACUAGUGAAGAGGAUAUCGCUUCCAUGUUCUCGGCUAUCAAGGCCCAGCAUAAGGGCGUGGACGUGUGCAUCAACAACGCAGGCGUAGCUCAUCCUGAACCCCUGCUGAGUGGCAGAACAAGCGGCUGGAAGAACAUGUUGGACCUGAACGUCCUCGCCUUAUCUAUAUGUUCACGAGAGGCUUAUCAGUCCAUGAAAGACAGAAAUGUUGACGACGGACAUAUUAUCAACAUAAACAGCAUGGCCGGUCAUCGCAUGGUCAGCAACCCCGAUGUGCACUUCUACAGUGCCACCAAGUUUGCGGUGACGGCGCUGACGGAGGCUCUGAGGCGGGAGCUGCGAGAGGCCAACUCCCACAUCCGUACCUCUUGCAUUUCCCCUGGCCUGGUGGAGACUGAAUUUACUCUUCGUCUCUACAGUGGCGACGCUGAAAAAGUUGACAAAACUUUCAGCAAAUACAAGCCGCUGGACGCUAAAGAUGUUGCUAAUGCUGUCACCUACGUCCUUAGUGCCCCACCACACGUGCAGGUUGGUGAUGUUCAGAUGAGACCCGUGGAGCAGUCUUUGUAGAAGCAGUUCUAAAACGAACUAGGCUUUUUUCCACUUUCCUGUAACAGAAUGGAACGCUCCAUCAUUCCUCCAAUAAGGUUCAAGUGGGCAACAAACUAAGAUGCGAUAUAUAUAGAGCAAAGGUUGGAAAAAGGUGAGGAUCGCCCGAUUGGGCAAAUGCAACCUUUUUGGGGGUGUGAGCAUGUGUAGCAAGCAUGUGAGAGUCAGCUGACUGGCCUGGAUUUGGGCGUCUUGGCAGGAUGUUACGACUCUCGUUGGCAAAUUGCUCUCUGACUCUCUCAAUGGAGCGCUGCAUGGGGCUCAUCAAGAUGGCAAACGAGGUGGGCGAACGCAGCCUGGAGGUUUGGACUGGAGUUGGCGCGGGUGUGGAGGUCAAAGGUGGGAAUUCUGCGAGUGAGACGGCGGUCGGCAUCGCUUUCUUCUGUGGCUUGGUUGUGUUCCUCAUCAUGGCUUGAGAAAACGACGAGUCAGCCAGAAAGACUGAAUACGUUACCUUGGCGAGACAAGGUGGUGGUCCGCUCCUUCGCUGCCCCUUUUUCUGUCUUUCAGGUCCUUAAACGUCGCUCUGUGCGAUGCAAACUGAGGUGCGUGAGUGAAUUUAUGGAUUUUAAUCCACCACGGAGGCGAAAGCGGAGGAAGGCGAGGAGAAGCAGCAGAAUGGUGGGACACACACGGAUCCCAUUUCUCCUGGUCUGCACAGCAGCGCGACCCCUGCUGGACGACAUCGGGAGAACACCGGAAGUCGUGGAAAAAGGCAACGUUUCAUAAUGACUAGCAACGAGGAUAGAAUAAUACAUUUUGUCGUUGCAGUUUGCUGUGCUGACUCUAGGAGGCAAGAUGGCGCUAGUUUCACUAAUGCUGCGUUCAGGUCAGUUCAUAAAAAGUCGGAAUUCACCCAACACUUCCAAGCUCGGCGACGAACCUUUUGGAGGUGUGGACCUGCGUCGUGUGCAUGAAGAAGUCGGAGCGCAGCAGGCGAUAAAAGUAGACCAGGAUCAUGACGUUCAUCACCAUGAUGGCGAACAGGAAGAAGGCGGCGUGCUCCAGCCAGGAGUAAUUUUGUAGGAUGUACCAGUACAAGGUGGACGAGGUGGCGCCCGCCAGCUUCAGCAGCAGCCUCAGGUGCAAAGUCACGCUGUUGACCUCCACAAAGAGCGCCACCACGGCGCCGGCGACGUACAGCUGAGUGUAGAGGGCGUACAGGAAGGCCGAGAUCACCUGUGCAGAACAGAACAGGAUGUACCAGUACAAGGUGGACAACAAAUGUGUGCAGGAUGUACCAGUACAAGGUGGACAACAAAUGUGUGCAGGAUGUACCAGUACAAGGUGGACAAGUUGGCGCCCGCCAGCUUCAGCAGCAGCCUCAGGUGCAAGGUCAUGCUGUUGACCUCCACAAAGAGCGCCACCACGGCACCGGCGACGUACAGCUGAGUGUAGAGGGCGUACAGGAAGGCCGAGAUCACCUGUGCAGAACAGAACAGGUGAUGCUCCACUAACUCACAGGAUUCCCAUUUUGUCUGUUCCAGCGUCAAACUGUUACCAUUAUAAAACCUCUUAAGUGUAGCAUGGCCUUUAUCAC